AUUGAACGCUGGCGGCAUGCCUUACACAUGCAAGUCGAACGGCAGCAUGAUCUAGCUUGCUAGAUUGAUGGCGAGUGGCGAACGGGUGAGUAAUACAUCGGAACGUGCCCUGUAGUGGGGGAUAACUAGUCGAAAGAUUAGCUAAUACCGCAUACGACCUGAGGGUGAAAGGGGGGUACCGCAAUGCCUCAUGCUAUAGUAGCGGCCGAUGUCUGAUUAGCUAGUUGGUGAGGUAAAGGCUCACCAAGGCGACGAUCAGUAGCUGGUCUGAGAGGACGAUCAGCCACACUGGGACUGAGACACGGCCCAGACUCCUACGGGAGGCAGCAGUGGGGAAUUUUGGACAAUGGGCGAAAGCCUGAUCCAGCAAUGCCGCGUGUGUGAAGAAGGCCUUCGGGUUGUAAAGCACUUUUGUCCGGAAAGAAAUGGCUCUGGUUAAUACCUGGGGUCGAUGACGGUACCGGAAGAAUAAGGACCGGCUAACUACGUG
rnacentral:rRNA from 1 species